rnacentral:rRNA from 1 species
GAUGAACGCUGGCGGCGUGCCUAAUACAUGCAAGUCGAACGAAUCUUCUUCGGAAGAUGAGUGGCGAACGGGUGAGUAAUACAUAGGUAACCUGCCCCUGUGCGGGGGAUAACAGGAGGAAACUCCUGCUAAUACCGCAUAGCCAUGAGCACCGCAUGGAGCUCAUGCCAAAUAUCCUUUCGGGGAUAGCGCAGGGAUGGACCUAUGGCGCAUUAGCUGGUUGGCGGGGCAACGGCCCACCAAGGCAACGAUGCGUAGCCGGCCUGAGAGGGGGGACGGCCACAGUGGGACUGAUAAACGGCCCAGACUCCUACGGGAGGCAGCAGUAGGGAAUUUUCGGCAAGGGGGGGAACCCUGACCGAGCAACGCCGCGUGAGCGAAGAAGGCCUUCGGGUCGUAAAGCUCUGUUGUAAAGGAAGAACGGCGCAUACAGGAAAUGGUAUGCGAGUGACGGUACUUUACCAGAAAGCCACGGCUAACUACGUGCCAGCAGCCGCAGUAA